UUUGGUUUCGACGGGGGUUGGUUCGGGUAGGAAUAGCGAGCCGGGAUUCCACUAGCCCGUAAAAACGGUGGGCCUUAAAUUAAACGCAAACGAAAAUUACGCUUUAGCUGCUUAGUUCAGCUAACGUCUAACCCUCGGAGCCUACGCUGAGGGAUUAGGCGCCGACUAGUAGGCUACCGCAGUCAAUGCCGUUUGAGUUGGCUGUGGGAAAUUUAGCAAACUAGUCUUAUCAUUAUCCUGCCUCUGGGAGAAUGGUAAGGCGAAUUUUAAAACAGAGGCUGCGCUCGGAGAAGUUCUUACUGGAACACCUUCGGACAGGGGUUCGAUUCA
rnacentral:tmRNA from 1 species